rnacentral:misc_RNA from 1 species
CCAUCUUUGACAUUAAGUGGCGAUAAUUUUUCACGUUUACUUUUACGUCUGCUGUAAAUGAACGAAACGAAUUGUCAGCGUUGCUACACCUCAAGCCAGUAUCAAUGUUGCAUCGGCACUUGAACGACUUCGUACUAUAGAAACGUCCGUCUGUCUCGUAUUUGACGAUGUUGAAACAAAUUAAAUACCCGUAUCAAUUUGUAAUGUGACAUGAAAGUGAAAGAUAUCGUGCAUAUUAGGGUCUGCAUGUACAUACGUACAUACACACAAGUACACCAUGAGACGGUAACUGCAUAUAGGGUAGUAAGUUCGAAAAUGUGAGGAAUUUUGAAUAACAUUUAUACAUUUUGUCUCUCGAAACUCUGGAAAAGUGACUAAUAAAACACACCUGUUAUGCAGCCCAUCUUCGAUCCUAUACC